rnacentral:snRNA from 1 species
AUUGCUUCUUGGCCUUUUGGCUAAGAUCAAGUGUAGUAUCAGAUGUGGUACUAAAGAUUUAUCUCUUUGAUGUCUCAAUUCCAAGAUUGAGGAUCCUCUAAACACAGUUCUGCCUCAUUUCCUGGGGUCACCUUUU